ACGAAUUCAGGGUUUAGAGAAAUUUUGAAAAAUCACGUCUGGAAAACGUGGACCUGCGCUGUGCUGGUCGCGUCGAUAAUGGCAGCAUAUUCUUCUGAAGAAGAGGGACAGAUCAUAGAUGAAGAUGAAGAGGACAAGCUGGCUUCUCCAGAAGAAAAAAGGAAUGGUGUUGACAUAAGGGAAGAGUCAUCUCCUCAUGUGUCUCCUAGUGUGAAGAAGAAACAUAAACACAAACACAAGCACAAACAUAAGCACAAGAAACGUAAGAGUCGUGACGAUGGUGGAGCUAGUGAUGCUGGUGAGGAUGAGAAGAAGCACAAGCAUCACAAGAAGCAUAAAAAGCACAAGAAACGCUCUCACUCGAGCGAACGAGACAGCAGUGGUGAGCAAAUCAAACGACCAAAACUAGACAAUGGUGAGCACCAACUGGAGUUGGUCGAGUCUUCCAAGAGUAAAAACGAAGGUGAAGAAUUGGAAUUGAAGGCUCUUCAGGAAAUGAAAAACAAGAUUAAGGAGGAAUUAAAGGAGUAUGAAAAACCUCAAAAGAAACAUCGGAAGUCUGAAGAUAACGAAGACAAACACAAGUCUAGUGAUAAGCAUGCACAUCGAAAGAAGUCGCACUCUGAAUCAAAGUCGCCUCAAAGAAAACAGUCGCCUACUCGUGAGAGCAAGCGAAAAUCGUCAGAUAAAGAAAAAAGUAGACGACAUAGGACGUCCCGUUCUAAAUCACCUUCAAGCAAAAAGCCUACCGACAAAUCUUCUCCAGCCAGAAAGCGUGAGAGAACAGAAAGUCCCUCUCCUACAAAUCAAAGAAAAUUACUUUCUCCCGAUCGGCCAAAGUCCCGCUCAAAAUCUCCUAGCAGAAGUCAACGACAACGCUCUAUCUCUCCAAAGAAACGAGGCGCGUCUUUAUCUCCCAGUAGACGAAGAUCAAAGUCACCAGAGAAAAGGAAAUUAUCUAGCAGAGGGAAGUCUCCAUCUCCCUCUAGGUCAAGAAGACACAGAGAUCCAUCAGAAUCGAAAGAGAGAAAGAAGUCCUCGUCACCUGUCCAACGACAAUCAUCUACAUCGCCACGAAGACGCUCUCGAUCACCCGCUAGAAGGAGGCACCGUCAAGUAAGUCCUCGCAGAUCACGCUCUCGUUCCCCUGUACGUAAACGAUCACCUAAUAUUUCCAAGAGAAGAAGUAUGUCUCCCCCUCACCGUUCCCCUAGUAGACGUUCCCAUUCACCCCUAAGGCAAUCCAAAUCACCCAGACGAUUGAAAUCCCCAAGAAAACAUUCCAGAUCACCCAGACGUCGUUCCAAUUCCCCCAGGCGUCGCUCACGGUCACCCAGACGUCGUUCUAAUUCCCCUAAGCGUCGCUCACGAUCACCCAGACGUCGUUCCAAUUCGCCUAAGCGUCGCUCACGGUCACCAAGACGUCGUUCCAAUUCCCCCAAGCGUCGCUCUAGAUCACCCAGACAUCGUUCCAAUUCCCCCAAGCAUCGCUCACGGUCACCAAGACGUCGUUCCAAUUCCCCCAAGCGUUGCUCACGAUCACCAAGACGUCGUUCCGCUUCCCCCAAGCGUCGCUCAAGGUCUCCAAGACCCCGUUUGAGAUCACCUAGACGCCGCUCACGGUCUCCACGGCGAUUUCCCUACCGAAAAAGGUCCACUAGUCCAAGAAGAGGCAGAUCCCCUCGUUCUAGGAGAGAUCGAAGAUCACAGUCCAGAGAUCAGCGUCAUAGGAGUGGGUCAAAAAGUGAUGUGGAGAAUAGGAGCCGAUCUGAGGAUGAAGUGAUGGAUGUUGACAUUGAGUCUGAGGAUGAAGAUGCCAUCAUUGAAAGGAGGAGACAACUUCGGCAAGCCAUAGUUCAGAAGUAUCAGUCGUCACAACCCACCAGCAGAGCAUCUACUCCCACGUCCAAUGCUGACAGUGACAAAGUUGGCGAUGAUGCCACAAAAGACUUUGAGAUGACGCUGGUCGAAGAGGAGAAGAAUUUGCAAUUGCGUCAAGAGGAGGGUGGGCCUGGGGGCGUAGAUUCCCUCUGCCUUGGUAAGGAUGAUGUGGACAAGAUGGCAGAGGCGAGGGAGAGAAUAUCUGGGCUAUCUGCUGUCAGGAAGGCCAUGAAGAACGGAGAUAUGUUCUCAGAGGAAUUGUUUAAAGAGAAGUUUAUGACCCCGUCCAGCGGGAUGAUAGCAGACACUGGCAACGAGAAUCCCAACCUCUUGGACAACUGGGACGAUGCAGAGGGAUAUUACCGUGUUCGUGUUGGUGAGCAGCUGGAUCGGCGGUACACAGUUUUUGGAUUCACUGGGUCAGGUGUUUUCAGUAAUGUGGUUAGGGCCCGUGACACACUCCGAGCUCAGCAGGAUGUUGCCAUCAAGAUCAUCAGGAACAAUGAGAUGAUGCACAAGACUGGACUGCAAGAGUUGGAGAUUCUCCAGAAGCUGAACGAGGCUGACCCUGAUGAUAAGUUCCACUGUGUUCGGCUGUUCAAACACUUCUUCCACAGGAACCACCUUUGUCUUGUGUUUGAGUCCAUGAGCAUGAAUCUGCGUGAGGUGCUGAAGAGGUACGGCAAGAACGUAGGACUACACAUCAAGGCAGUGCGGUCAUACACACAGCAGCUGCUCCUGGCUCUCAAGCUCAUGAAGAGGAAGGGCAUCCUCCACGCUGACAUCAAGCCUGACAACAUCCUGGUUAAUGACAGCAAGCUGCUGCUAAAGGUCAGUGACUUUGGAUCUGCCAGCUUUGUCAGUGACAACGACAUCACACCCUACCUUGUCAGCCGCUUCUAUCGAGCUCCAGAAAUCAUCCUAGGUAACAAGUACGACUACGGAAUCGACAUGUGGUCUGUGGCAUGUACAGUUUAUGAGCUGUACACUGGAAAGAUCCUCUUUCCCGGAAAGAGCAACAACGAGAUGCUCAAGCUCAUGAUGGAGGUCAAAGGGAAAAUCCCUAACCGCGUUACACGCAAGGGCAUGUUCAAAGAGAAGCAUUUUGACUCGAGUUUCAGCUUCCUCUAUGCCGAAGUGGAUAAAGUGACGGAAAAGGAGAAGGUGACAGUGAUGGGCUCCAUCCCACCGUCACGUGACUUGCUUUCCACUCUUGUCGGCCGCCAGUCUCUAAGUGAAGCCCACCUUCGCAAAGUUCACCAGUUCAAGGACUUUUUGGAUAAGGCACUGAUGCUGGACCCUACCAAGAGACUCACCAUCAAUGAAGCGCUAAUACAUCCGUUCAUCUCUGAGAAGCUGGACUAAGCUGCUGACUUUGGUAUUAAUUAAGGACCAUGAACUUUCUGAACGAUUGCACACACUUUAAAUGGCACAAUCUAUUGGAUACCCAUGACGAACAAGACCCACAGGCAUUGGCUCUCAACAGAGUGGCUGAUGUUUCACGUGUGAUGAGGAAGAAGUGAAGGUCAAGAUCUAAGAGUCAGUGACUGGCUGCAUGUGUAGCAUUAUUUGCACAGGAUUACGAGGUGUUUGCCAGCUGACUUUGGGU